CCAGACUCCUACGGGAGGCAGCAGUGGGGGAUAUUGCACAAUGGGGGAAACCCUGAUGCAGCGACGCCGCGUGGGUGAAGAAGUAUUUCGGUAUGUAAAGCCCUAUCAGCAGGGAAGAAGAAAGACGGUACCUGACUAAGAAGCCCCGGCUAACUACGUGCCAGCAGCCGCGGUAAUACGUAGGGGGCAAGCGUUAUCCGGAUUUACUGGGUGUAAAGGGAGCGUAGACGGCUGUGCAAGUCUGAAGUGAAAGCCCAGGGCUCAACCCUGGGACUGCUUUGGAAACUGUGGAGCUAGAGUGCUGGAGAGGUAAGUGGAAUUCCUAGUGUAGCGGUGAAAUGCGUAGAUAUUAGGAGGAACACCAGUGGCGAAGGCGACUUUCUGGACUGUACCUGACGCUGAGGCGCGAAAGCGUGGGUAGCGAACGGGAUUAGAUACCCCGGUACA
rnacentral:rRNA from 1 species